AAUCAAUCCAGUUUCUCUCUACAGGUUGAUGAAAACACCUCCUCCGAACGGAAAGGUGAGAAAUCUGGCUCCGUUGAUGGUUCAGCAGGCCGCCUCUCUUUCCGGAUCCCUUCAUUCUUACAAAGGAGCCAGGCACCCCUCCUUGGCCCUGGAGACAGGCCAUCAGCGGAACAGACAGGCGUCUUCCACAGGACUUUCUAGGAGCCUGCACGUUUCUGGAAGAGGCCAACAAUGAACAAGUAAACAAACACGUAAGAAAGAGCACUUUGGAUGCUGCUCAGGAUAUGCUGAUAAAGGCACCACCACGAGCUAAUGGGAGGGAGAAACAUUAACUUCCCUUUGGCCUGAAGAAAGCCUAAAGACACCCAACUAAGAGUUCGCAUGCCACAGCAGGAGAUCCAGCGUGCCUUAAAGAAGAUCCUGCAUGCUGCAACAAAGACCUGGCGUGAUGAAUAAAUAGAUACGUGUUAAAAAAUUUCACUCUUAUUCCACCUGGCCUCUCCACCCACACUCCCAGGUGAAUGAGACCUGGCCCAAAGACAUUUUUGUAAACUAAAUUGGGCCUUUCUAUUAAUGUACCAUGGAAAAGAUGCCCCAUUCUGAUUUUGGAGUGAUCGUCAAACCUCAUUGGCCAACUGAAG
ensembl:lncRNA